AGAAUCAACGCUGGCGGCGUGCCUAACACAUGCAAGUCGAACGAGAAAGGGGAGCAAUCCCUGAGUAAAGUGGCGCACGGGUGAGUAACACGUGACUAACCUACCCUUGAGUGGGGGAUAACUGAGGGAAACCUUAGCUAAUACCGCAUAAUACCCACGGGUCAAAGGAGCAAUUCGCUCGAGGAGGGGUCGCGGCCGAUUAGUUAGUUGGCGGGGUAAUGGCCCACCAAGACGAUGAUCGGUAU
rnacentral:rRNA from 1 species